GGGUUGUGAGGUUAAGCGACUAAGCGUACACGGUGGAUGCCCUGGCAGUCAGAGGCGAUGAAGGACGUGCUAAUCUGCGAAAAGCGUCGGUAAGGUGAUAUGAACCGUUACAGCCGGCGAUGUCCGAAUGGGGAAACCCAGUGCAAUUCGUUGCACUAUCGUUAACUGAAUACAUAGGUUAACGAGGCGAACCGGGGAACUGAAACAUCUAAGUACCCGAGGAAAAGAAAUCAACCGAGAUUCCCCAGUAGCGGCGAGCGAACGGGGAGCAGCCCAGAGUCUGAAUCAGCUUGUGUGUUAGUGGAACGGUCUGGAAAGUCCGACGGUACAGGGUGAUAGUCCCGUACACCAAAAUGCACAGGUUGUGAACUCGAAGAGUAGGGCGGGACACGUGGUAUCCUGUCUGAAUAUGGGGGGACCAUCCUCCAAGGCUAAAUACUCCUGACUGACCGAUAGUGAACCAGUACCGUGAGGGAAAGGCGAAAAGAACCCCGGCGAGGGGAGUGAAAAGAACCUGAAACCGUGUACGUACAAGCAGUGGGAGCACCUUCGGGUGUGACUGCGUACCUUUUGUAUAAUGGGUCAGCGACUUAUAUUCUGUAGCAAGGUUAACCGUAUAGGGGAGCCGCAGGGAAACCGAGUCUUAACUGGGCGUUAAGUUGCAGGGUAUAGACCCGAAACCCGGUGAUCUAGCCAUGGGCAGGUUGAAGGUUGGGUAACACUAACUGGAGGACCGAACCGACUAAUGUUGAAAAAUUAGCGGAUGACUUGUGGCUGGGGGUGAAAGGCCAAUCAAACCGGGAGAUAGCUGGUUCUCCCCGAAAGCUAUUUAGGUAGCGCCUCGUGAACUCAUCUUCGGGGGUAGAGCACUGUUUCGGCUAGGGGGUCAUCCCGACUUACCAACCCGAUGCAAACUACGAAUACCGAAGAAUGUUAUCACGGGAGACACACGGCGGGUGCUAACGUCCGUCGUGAAGAGGGAAACAACCCAGACCGCCAGCUAAGGUCCCAAAGUCAUGGUUAAGUGGGAAACGAUGUGGGAAGGCACAGACAGCCAGGAUGUUGGCUUAGAAGCAGCCAUCAUUUAAAGAAAGCGUAAUAGCUCACUGGUCGAGUCGGCCUGCGCGGAAGAUGUAACGGGGCUAAACCAUGCACCGAAGCUGCGGCAGCGACACUAUGUGUUGUUGGGUAGGGGAGCGUUCUGUAAGCCUGCGAAGGUGUGCUGUGAGGCAUGCUGGAGGUAUCAGAAGUGCGAAUGCUGACAUAAGUAACGAUAAAGCGGGUGAAAAGCCCGCUCGCCGGAAGACCAAGGGUUCCUGUCCAACGUUAAUCGGGGCAGGGUGAGUCGACCCCUAAGGCGAGGCCGAAAGGCGUAGUCGAUGGGAAACAGGUUAAUAUUCCUGUACUUGGUGUUACUGCGAAGGGGGACGGAGAAGGCUAUGUUAGCCGGGCGACGGUUGUCCCGGUUUAAGCAUGUAGGCUGGUUAUCCAGGCAAAUCCGGAUAAUCAAGGCUGAGGUGUGAUGACGAGGCACUACGGUGCUGAAGUAACAAAUGCCCUGCUUCCAGGAAAAGCCUCUAAGCAUCAGGUAACAUCAAAUCGUACCCCAAACCGACACAGGUGGUCAGGUAGAGAAUACCAAGGCGCUUGAGAGAACUCGGGUGAAGGAACUAGGCAAAAUGGUGCCGUAACUUCGGGAGAAGGCACGCUGGUGUGUAGGUGAAGUCCCUGCGGAUGGAGCUGAGACCAGUCGAAGAUACCAGCUGGCUGCAACUGUUUAUUAAAAACACAGCACUGUGCAAACACGAAAGUGGACGUAUACGGUGUGACGCCUGCCCGGUGCCGGAAGGUUAAUUGAUGGGGUUAUCCGUAAGGAGAAGCUCUUGAUCGAAGCCCCGGUAAACGGCGGCCGUAACUAUAACGGUCCUAAGGUAGCGAAAUUCCUUGUCGGGUAAGUUCCGACCUGCACGAAUGGCGUAAUGAUGGCCAGGCUGUCUCCACCCGAGACUCAGUGAAAUUGAACUCGCUGUGAAGAUGCAGUGUACCCGCGGCAAGACGGAAAGACCCCGUGAACCUUUACUAUAGCUUGACACUGAACAUUGAGCCUUGAUGUGUAGGAUAGGUGGGAGGCUUUGAAGCGUGGACGCCAGUCUGCGUGGAGCCAACCUUGAAAUACCACCCUUUAAUGUUUGAUGUUCUAACGUUGGCCCCUGACCGGGGUUGCGGACAGUGUCUGGUGGGUAGUUUGACUGGGGCGGUCUCCUCCCAAAGCGUAACGGAGGAGCACGAAGGUUAGCUAAUCCUGGUCGGACAUCAGGAGGUUAGUGCAAUGGCAUAAGCUAGCUUGACUGCGAGCGUGACGGCGCGAGCAGGUGCGAAAGCAGGUCAUAGUGAUCCGGUGGUUCUGAAUGGAAGGGCCAUCGCUCAACGGAUAAAAGGUACUCCGGGGAUAACAGGCUGAUACCGCCCAAGAGUUCAUAUCGACGGCGGUGUUUGGCACCUCGAUGUCGGCUCAUCACAUCCUGGGGCUGAAGUAGGUCCCAAGGGUAUGGCUGUUCGCCAUUUAAAGUGGUACGCGAGCUGGGUUUAGAACGUCGUGAGACAGUUCGGUCCCUAUCUGCCGUGGGCGCUGGAGAAUUGAGGGGGGCUGCUCCUAGUACGAGAGGACCGGAGUGGACGCAUCACUGGUGUUCGGGUUGUCAUGCCAAUGGCACUGCCCGGUAGCUAAAUGCGGAAGAGAUAAGUGCUGAAAGCAUCUAAGCACGAAACUUGCCCCGAGAUGAGUUCUCCCUGAGACUAUAAGUCUCCUGAAGGAACGUUAAAGACGAUGACGUUGAUAGGCCGGGUGUGUAAGCGCAGCGAUGCGUUGAGCUAACCGGUACUAAUGAACCGUGAGGCUUAACCUUACAACGCCGAAG
rnacentral:rRNA from 1 species